GCUUGUGCGGCUCGGCAUUUCUUCCAUGAGUAAGACUUAAUGAGGCGCGAGCAGAAGCUGCUGCAUGCAUUCUUCCUCCUCCUCCUCACCUUUUAAUCAAUACCAUGAUGUGAGGCCACCCCGAUGUCACCACUACUGAGACCUCCCCUUGCCUAUUUAAGAGUCAGGGAAAAGAAUCGUGGUGUGUUGCAUUUAAACUAUAGGAAUUAAUUUCAUCUCAGAUGAAGGAGCUUUGGAAUCAUCAGAUGGAAAGAUUCUCCCAUCUGAUUGGACAGCCUGCACAGACUUCACUAUUUAAAACCCGGUUGGUGUACGUAUGUGGCUGUUUGGCCAAGGUCUCCAGGACAUUUUUCUUGACUUUCUUUUAGAAUUUUCAUCUCUCUUCCAUUGUCAACUGCCCCUUUCUUUCAUCAAUUAAUUAAUAGAGCUGUUGACCGAGGGAACACACUGCUCACAGAAGACCAACCAGGUUGCCACUUUUAAGCUUUUGCGAAGUCCAAACAACUUAAACAGGCACUUUUCUUGUAGAAUACCAACAAAUGUAAAACAGUACUGUAAACCAUUUAGUCAUUUUCAUUUCUUUGUAGUCUGGUCCAUACUCGGAUGUGAGCUCCAUUCUGCGGUCUGCUCUCUCGGCAGAUGAUCCACGCUAAAAGCAUGGAGGGAUUGGAAGGGGCAAAGACAGUUGCCCUCAGUGGGCAGCUUCUCAGGACUGUGGGAGAAAAAGGAGAUGAUACUGUAAGAGACAGUGCCCUCUUGUAUCCAGGAGUGGUAGUGCUAACCUCUGAUGAGCCCAGGAGGCAAACCUCAGACAUGCAUCCGUGACAACAGAUAUUGUUCGUUUCAAUUGAUGUAUAAAUUUCUACCUUGUUUUCCUUGUGUUUUAACAUAUCUGUGUUUAUGUACAGUAUGUCAGUUCUGUAUGUAGUACUGAGUACUGUGUGACUGAGGAUUGAUUGCUCUACACCUGCACUUAAUGAAGGGUGCUAUACAGAAAAUGAGUUGUUAUGUGUUGUAUUUCUGUAAACGCCGAUCCCCUAGGAUUUUCAUGCACAACAGUCUACAAUUUACUCAGAAAGGUCUGAUGAAAAAAACAAAAACAUCUAUGGAGCUCCAAUUCCCCAGUCGGAAGUGCCUUGUUGAUGAGAGAGGUCAAGGAGAAUGGUCAGACUGGUUUGAGCUGACAGAAAAGUGAUGGUAACUCAGAUAACCAAUCUAUAAAGCUGUGGAGAGCAGAAAAACAUCUCGGAAUGCACAACAGGCCGAACCUUGA